UACGUAGGUGGCAAGCGUUAUCCGGAUUUACUGGGCGUAAAGGGAACGCAGGCGGUCUUUUAAGUCUGAUGUGAAAGCCUUCGGCUUAACCGGAGUAGUGCAUUGGAAACUGGGAGACUUGAGUGCAGAAGAGGAGAGUGGAACUCCAUGUGUAGCGGUGAAAUGCGUAGAUAUAUGGAAGAACACCAGUGGCGAAAGCGGCUCUCUGGUCUGUAACUGACGCUGAGGUUCGAAAGCGUGGGUAGCGAACAGG
rnacentral:rRNA from 1 species